rnacentral:lncRNA from 1 species
UCUCAAAGAGUGUUGCCUUGCAUCAGGAAAUAAAAGUAAUGAUGGACAUAUCAUCACCUUCUGGCCAUCACGAGAGCCAUGCAACGUUUAAACAUUUCCACCGCCAUUUUAUUUUUUACAGAGAAAUGGCUGGUUGAAUCUGUUUGAAAAUUUCACUGAAUUUUAUCGGCAGUACAAAGAAAAUUCAGUGAAAUUUUUGGAGGGUUUUGUUGAACAAUUUCUUUGUAAAAAAAAAAUGGCGGCGGACAUUUUUAAACAUGGCAUGGCGUUUAUGAUACUUUGACUGGAAGGUGACAAUAUGCUGAGUGAAUUAUUUACCUGUGAACUCUCUGAAUUGAGGUGUUGUUUAUCACAGGAUCAACAAUUUUAACUGAUUAUGCCUCCUAAGACCGCACCGAAGAAGCCAGCAGCAGCUGCUGGUGAUAAGAAGCCUGCUGCAAAGAAACCUGCAGCUGCUGCCCCAGCAGCUAAGAAACCUGCCGCACCAAAGGCAGAGGCAAAACCUAAACCAGCGAAACCUGCAGCUGCUACCGCCCCUGCCAAAAAGGCUGCACCUGCGGCAAAGCAGCAAGCCGGCAAGAGUCAGCCAGCCCAGAAGCAAGCAGGAAAGCCUGCCCCUGCUAAACAGCAAGCUGUCAAGGAAGCGACGAAGAAGCCAGCGCAACAAAAGGCUCCUGCAAAACCUGCAGCAGGAAAGCAGCAGCAGCAAAGUGGGAAGGGAGCUCCUGCAAAACCAGCACAAGCAGGGAAGCAGCAAAAACCUGCAGCCAAGCCCCAGGCAGGAGGCAAGCAAGCUGCAAAACCGGCUCCUGCUAAGCAGCAGGCUGGUGGUAAGCAGCAAGGAGGGAAGAAAGCCCCUGCUGCCCAGCCCAAGCAACAGCAGUCAGUCAAGAAAGUGACAAAGACUCAAGCAGCAGCCCCAAAAGGUGGCAACAAGAAACAAGCAGGCAAAAAAGCCCCAGCACCUGUUCAGAAGGGUAAAGGAGGAAAGCUUACUUCAGCUAAGAAACCACCAUCAUCCAAGCUAUACGUGAAAGAAGAACCAACCUUCAAGAACCAUCAGCUGGUAGUGUCAGUCAAAGGUUAUGGUACAGAGCCAUCAAGAGGGUAGCGAAAAGAAGUGCUGAUCUCAAUGAUAACCAAAAGAAGAUUCUCAGUGUGGUUUCUACCAAGAGACGUGUGCCUCGAGUUCUCUACCGUUUUGUUGUAAGUAACACUAUUUUUUAUCCAAUGACGAUUUCAAGAUUCAAGAUUGUUAAAAACACAGAUGUUGAAUUAGCGAGAACUCCGAGCAGAGCGUUAACUUCUCUUUUCAAAUCAGUUGACGCAAAAACGACUUGCCCCCCUUCCUCUCUACGGAUUUUUAUGAUUCUUUGGAUUUUGUAAGAACAUUCCCCCAAGAAGCUCCCAAAGGGUUUUUUCCCAAAAUUUCAGCUGCUCCCUAAAGAAAUCUCCCAAGAUUAUUUUUUUUUGCCUCAAUCCAACGAAAAAUCUCUCUUCUAUAAGAAUCUAAUCUUUUUUCUCUGGAUGGUCUACAAGCUUAUCCUGACCAUGAAGCGGUUAGCACCGUAUGUAAGGUAUAGAGCCCUGAUUAGAGUCAGAGAUAUCCCUCGUCUAGAAAGCCGUCUCAGCCAGGUUCAAUGAAAUGAUUCAUGAACCAUAUCAUAGAUGUUAUUUUUCAAUUGAUAUUGACUUUGCCUGCCUCAUUUGCGAUCCAUUUGUCCAUAUGCAUCAAUUAAUUAUAAAUUUUCUUAAUAUGCAUUCGGCAUUCUUUUAAUACGCUCAUACCUCAGGUUAUGGAGGAUGCACAUGUGUCUGUAAGUUAAGAAGUUUUAUCAACGUUUUUGAACAACUUUCAAAGAAAACUUCUCAAGGUGCAGUCUCUGCUUGGGCAAUUUUGUUCAUGGACUCUUAGAAUGAUUUCAUAUUAAUUAGACUCACAUAUUUUGGGUUCCUUUCCUGAUAAACGUUUCCAAACAAGUACCCACUCAGUAAAAUUUUCAAAAAUUCUAGCUCAGAGUUAAUGUCAGCCACUCUGUUAAGCCUCCUUUGCAGGGUUAAGCAGUAAGAAUCUCUAGAAAAUUAUCUUUCUCCCCUCCCAACCACCGUUGUGGAACAAUAAUAUUGAUCUUGCCAAUGAUCCAUAAUCUGGGUUCGAAUUGUGCUAGGCUGCUCCACAUUUUAGAACUCAGCUGCACCUUUUCUUAUUUUCGUCUCACCUCUUCAUCUCCCAUACCCACACUUGUUCUUUCUCUUGAAUCAAAUAUUUAUUUAUUUUACCUUUAAAAUUAGUCACAAAUUCAUUAAGCAUAGCUCAACUUCGAAUUAAAUGCGGAUAUUUGUUAGUCCAUUAUGCACAUAUCUUGCUGAUGACUUUUUUCUCCAGUUUUUCACAUGAAUUUCUUGGAUAUUCUGAGUAACCAGGAUAAAAACAUCCUUAAUUUCUUCUGUUUUGGAUUCACUGAAAUUGUUUACCAUUCUACCUUAUUUCAUUUCAUUUUCAGAGAUUCAUCGAACAUAAUUGCGGCAUUCAGGAAGAGAAGCUCCGUCCUACGAUAGAAAAUGUAUUCUACCUAGCUGUUCAUGAAAAGAGUCGAAUUACUGGUAGACCUGUCCCAGAUGAUUUGUUGAAGAAGAUCUCCAAGUUGAGUGGCAAGGGUCCAAAAAGUGCUGCCAAGAAAGGUGCUGUUAAAGGAGCUCCCUCCAAAAAAGCCCCCGCUCAAGGUGCCAAAAACAAGCUCAAAAGAAACCCCAGCAACAGCAGCAGCAGCAGCAAGGAAAAAAAGACCAGCUGAACAGCAAAAAGCUAAAUCAGCCCCUGCGGCCAAGAAAAAUGCACCAGCAACCACUAAAGCUGCUCCAGCAAAAGGACCCGCAAAAAGUGGCGCAGCUGGUAAGGCACAAGCCAAGCCAGCCGCAGCAAAACCAGCCGCUGCCAAGGGUGCCACUAAGCCUGCAGCACCCAAAAGUGCACCUGCCAAACCAAGCAGCAAACCUGAUAGCAAAAAGAGUGAAGGAGCCAAGAAACCUGCUGCAAGUCAAGCAAAGCCUAAAUCAGCACCUGCAAAAACACAAGGAGCCAAGCCUGCUGCUAGUGGACAAGCUAAAAAGAAACCUCAGAAGUAAAAACAGAAUCACUCUUGGUGAGUUUUUAUAUUUUAUAUUUUUGCUGCCCUCAGGGUUUGAGCAUUCUUUCCAUGAGCUGUUGAGUAAUCUUAAUGUCAUUUUCAUGAUUUUUGUUUUUUAAAUCUCUGAGUUGUGGAAAAGCGUGCCACUUUCUCAGCAUCUCUCCUAGAAGAUAGUAAAACUUUGAUCCAAUGAACUCUAUGAAUCACUCAAGAAUCUCUUCGCGGUUCCGAAAAAAUCUAUCUGUUUUAUGUAAAUUAUACUCGGUUCAACAAAUAUUCAAAGAUUCGUUAAAUCGAAGUUCUACUGUAUGUAAAAUCUUGCGCCCUGAACAAGUCCUGGUAGGGGCUUGCAAAUUUCAUGUGUUGUUUUCAAGAUGUAGGUAUUAGGGUGUCAUCAGGCCGUGUGCAGCAAAAGCCGAGUUGCCACUUUCUAGGAAUUCGGUUCUAGGGCUGAAAUUUCUCUCAUGGCCAUUUCUAUGCUUUUUGAGAGGUAAAGACUUCAAUAGUAACAAUAUUUGCAAACCAAGAUAUUUUGAAACACCUUGCUGUUCCUCUGUUAAUUUUGAAUUAAAAUUUGAGUAAUUUUUCCUCAUCUAAAGGAAUAGGUACUCUUCCAAAAUUUUAAACGAGAAGCUUAGGUCUGUACAAAAGUAUAAUAGACAUAAGAAUGAUUGAACGCUGUUGUUUGGAUACCAAUUUUAUCAGUUUCUAAGUCUUAUUGUUUUUAUUCCAGAUGCUGUGGACGUUAGGUGUAUAAGGCAUCUUAUUUGACUGGACAUCAUCCCAACUUUUGUUAUGGAGGUUUUUAUUCUUCGAUAACUGAAAACUUAACAUUACAGGUUAAGUUACUGUACUAUGAAUUUUUUAUUUUGUUCUUUUUAUUAAAUAUAUUUUUGUUGCAAAACAAAAUUUAGUCUUAUCCUCAAACAUUCACAAUUCCUUUUUGUAAUUAAUAUCACAAAUGCAACUUAGGGGAAAAUAAGUAAAGAAAAAAAUUUGACUGAUAUCUCCUGAAGGCGUCUUACCUUUAUUUUAUUUAGAAUAGGAACUCCCUUGAAAUGCAACUGCCUGUUUUUUGUUGCCUAGUAAAAUUAUGUGCAGGUGUUGGAGUAGAACAGGAAUUCAAAAUUUAACGUGCUAGGAGUUUCAUUGAUUCAUAAUCCUUUAAACGCAAUUUGAUGAUUAAACAGUAAUGCAAAUAAGUUAAAUUUUAUUUACCUCAGUAGAGAUGGUCACUAAGUGUGCGGUUUGGCAACCAUUUUCAUUGUAUUUGCCACGAAGGAGCAUUAUGUUGCAUGUGUACUUCCCUUGAGGUUUUGCAAUCUAGGAGGAGUCUACUUGACUCAGAACAGGCAUAUGUCUACAGAAAGUGGAAUGUUGUUGUACAGAGACAGUUUUUCAGGAGAGUGAUGGACUGUUGUCAAGUUGGACUGAAAAAUCAAAAUUUGAGUUCUUAGGGUAGAACACCUUUAGUAUUUGAAUAAAAAAGUCCCAAAUGAAUUAGUUCAUUCAUUUUGUUACCUAAGAGCGUUAAGCUGCAUUUUGUUCUUUCAAACUUCAAAUACCCUCUAGGUAUAAUCCUACGCACAGAAUCUCCUUUAGUCCGCUUUCAACAACCAAUCCCAGACAAACCUAAUUUGAGACUAUCAUACUUGGGUUGCCUAACCAGGGAUCAGGGGGCCACCACAUAAGACUAAUCGUGUUAAUCUGACCCUUUUAAGCCCUCAACUAGUGAAACUAAAACUUCAACCACUGUUCCUCCAUACUACAUUUCUCAAACUGCAAACUCAAAAUCAUUAUUCACAAGGGAAGGCCCAAAAGUAGGUGCCUCAAAAUGCAUUUUGCUGUAAUAAUUAGCUCAAGAAAAGCUGAUCAAUGAGAGCCACUCAGUUUUUGCCAUUGAGCUCUUGAAAUGCCGCCACCCUUUUCCCCAAAAAUUCGUCUGAAAAUGCCCUCUACCUUCCAUGGUCAUCUGCAGCAGGUUGAUCGUUGAAAUUGAUAGACAAAGAAGACAUGAGGAGUAUGGAGCGAUCCCAUUGGUUGAAAUGGACGGUUUUUAUAGACUAAUAAGGGAGAAAAUGAUGGACUAACUAUAUAGUCUCUCAUGGGUUGCUGUUAGUUAGUCUAUUAGUAUUACUUACUUCCUUUGUCCACUGCAACCACCCGCGUUAUUAAUAGAAUCCCUCCAUAUCCUUGUUGUCUUCUUUGUCUAUCGCUUUGUCUACCAAUUUUAACAAUCAGCCUGCAGUAUGAGGAAUGAUUGUCAGCCGUUACAUACCCAUCAAUAGUGGUGCAAUGGGAAUUACGUAUUGAUGGCUGAAGUGGAAAAGUGGGCAUUUCCAUUGCAAAAUUUCAUCAUUUCCGAUUAUGUUUCAGUUUUUACAAGAAUACUGUAACAGAAACACCGUUUUCAGGACAUUCUGUCAACAUUUUUUUGUCCGCGCCCCUGUUUUGUCCAGUAGUUUAUGCCCACGCGUAAAAUCAACAGUGACUAUAGAUUCAAGCGUUUUUUAGUCCGUGUGUAAAAUUAUUUUGACAAUAUUGAAAUCAGAAAAUUGAGAGAGAAGGUGUUGUUAAGGUAACUCGUUUUUUAAAUGAAAUGUUACUUUCUUCUUUUGAUUCAUCUUUUCAAAUUUGGUGA